UACGGAGGGGGCUAGCGUUGUUCGGAAUUACUGGGCGUAAAGCGCACGUAGGCGGCUUUGUAAGUCAGGGGUGAAAGCCUGGAGCUCAACUCCAGAACUGCCUUUGAGACUGCAUCGCUUGAAUCCGGGAGAGGUAAGUGGAAUUCCGAGUGUAGAGGUGAAAUUCGUAGAUAUUCGGAAGAACACCAGUGGCGAAGGCGGCUUACUGGACCGGGAUUGACGCUGAGGUGCGAAAGCGUGGGGAG
rnacentral:rRNA from 1 species